rnacentral:rRNA from 1 species
UGAGGAAUAUUCCACAAUGGGCGAAAGCCUGAUGGAGCGACGCCGCGUGAAGGUUGAAGCCCUUUGGGGUGUAAACUUCUUUUAGGAGGGAUGAUACGCCGGAGCAAUCCGGCUAAGACAGUACCUCGUGAAUAAGCAUCGGCUAACUACGUG